ACUCCUACGGGAGGCAGCAGUGAGGAAUAUUGGUCAAUGGGCGCAAGCCUGAACCAGCCAUCCCGCGUGCAGGAAGACGGCCCUAUGGGUUGUAAACUGCUUUUCCAGGGGGAGAAUUUUUCUGUCGUGACAGGAAUUGACGGUACCCUGGGAAUAAGCAUCGGCUAACUCCGUGCCAGCAGCCGCGGUAAUACGGAGGAUGCGAGCGUUAUCCGGAUUUAUUGGGUUUAAAGGGUGCGUAGGCGGAUUGAUAAGUCAGUGGUGAAAACCUGCAGCUUAACUGUAGACUUGCCGUUGAUACUGUCAGUCUUGAGUGUGGUCAAGGUAGGCGGAAUGUGUAAUGUAGCGGUGAAAUGCUUAGAUAUUACACAGAACACCGAUUGCGAAGGCAGCUUACUGGGCCAUUACUGACGCUGAUGCACGAAAGCGUGGGGAUCGAACAGGAUUAGAUACCCUGGUAGUC
rnacentral:rRNA from 1 species